rnacentral:Y_RNA from 1 species
GGCUGGCCUGAUGGUAUUGUUCAAUCAGUUACAGAUGGAACUCCUUGUUCCACUCUUUCCUCCCCUUCUACUACUACACUUGACUAGUCUUAA